rnacentral:rRNA from 1 species
UCCGGUUGAUCCUGGCGGAGGCCACUGCUAUCGGAGUUCGAUUAAGCCAUGCGAGUCGAGAGGUGCAAGACCUCGGCAUACUGCUCAGUAACACGUGGACAACCUACCCUACGGAGGGGGAUAACCCCGGGAAACUGGGGAUAAUACCCCAUAGACUAUAGAUGCUGGAAUGCUUUGUAGUUGAAAGGUCCGCCGCCGUAGGAUGGGUCUGCGGCCGAUUAGGUUGUUGUUGGGGUAACGGCCCAACAAGCCUGUAAUCGGUACGGGUUGUGGGAGCAAGAGCCCGGAGAUGGAUUCUGAGACACGAAUCCAGGCCCUACGGGGCGCAGCAGGCGUGAAAACUUUACAAUGCGGGAAACCGUGAUAAGGGAACUCCGAGUGCCCGUAAAAUCGGGCUGUCCAUCUGUUUAAAUAACAGGUGAAGAAAGGGCCGGGCAAGACCGGUGCCAGCCGCCGCGGUAAUACCGGCGGCUCGAGUGGUGGCCACUAUUACUGGGCUUAAAGCGUUCGUAGCUGGUCUGUUAAGUCUCUGGGGAAAUCUACUGGCUUAACCAAUAGGCGUCUCAGGGAUACUGGCAGACUAGGGACCGGGAGAGGUGAGAGGUACUCCAGGGGUAGGAGUGAAAUCCUGUAAUCCUUGGGGGACCACCUGUGGCGAAGGCGUCUCACCAGAACGGCUCCGACAGUGAGGGACGAAAGCUGGGGGAGCAAACCGGAUUAGAUACCCGGGUAGUCCCAGCCGUAAACGAUGCGCGUUAGGUGUAUCGGUGACCACGAGUCACCGAGGUGCCGAAGAGAAAUCGUGAAACGUGCCGCCUGGGAAGUACGGUCGCAAGGCUGAAACUUAAAGGAAUUGGCGGGGGAGCACCACAACAGGUGGAGCCUGCGGUUUAAUCGGACUCAACGCCGGAAAUCUCACCGGAUAAGACAGCUGGAUGAUAGUCGGGCUGAAGACUCUACUUGACUAGCUGAGAGGAGGUGCAUGGCCGUCGUCAGUUCGUACUGUGAAGCAUCCUGUUAAGUCAGGCAACGAGCGAGACCCA